GAUGAACGCUGGCGGUGUGCCUAAUACAUGCCAGUCGAGCGAACAGACGAGGAGCUUACUCCUCUGACGUUAGCGGCGGACGGGUGAGUAACACGUGGAUAACCUACCUAUAAGACUGGGAUAACUUCGGGAAACCGGAGCUAAUACCGGAUAACAUGUUGAACCGCAUGGUUCAACAGUGAAAGACGGUCUUGCUGUCACUUAUAGAUGGAUCCGCGUCGCAUUAGCUAGUUGGUAAGGUAACGGCUUACCAAGGCAACGAUGCGUAGCCGACCUGAGAGGGUGAUCGGCCACACUGGAACUGAGACACGGUCCAGACUCCUACGGGAGGCAGCAGUAGGGAAUCUUCCGCAAUGGGCGAAAGCCUGACGGAGCAACGCCGCGUGAGUGAAGAAGGUCUUCGGAUCGUAAAACUCUGUUAUUAGGGAAGAGCAAAUGUGUAAGUAACUAUGCACGUCUUGACGGUACCUAAUCAGAAAGCCACGGCUAACUACGUG
rnacentral:rRNA from 1 species